rnacentral:rRNA from 1 species
CCUACGGGUGGCAGCAGUAGGGAAUAUUGCUCAAUGGGGGAAACCCUGAAGCAGCAACGCCGCGUGGAGGAUGAAGGUUUUAGGAUUGUAAACUCCUUUUGUUAGAGAAGAUUAUGACGGCAUCUAACGAAUAAGCACCGGCUAAUUCCGUGCCAGCAGCCGCGGUAAGACGGAGGGUGCAAGCGUUAUUCGGAAUCACUGGGCGUAAAGGGUGCGUAGGCGGGGUAAUAAGUCAGAUGUGAAAUCCUGUAGCUUAACUACAGAACUGCAUUUGAAACUGUUACUCUGGAGUGUGGGAGAGGUAGGUGGAAUUCGUGGUGUAGGGGUAAAAUCCGUAGAGAUCAAGAGGAAUACUCAUUGCGAAGGCGACCUGCUGAAACAUUACUGACGCUGAUGCACGAAAGCGUGGGGAGCAAACAGGAUUAGAUACCCGGGUAGUC